rnacentral:rRNA from 1 species
UACAGAGGUCUCAAGCGUUGUUCGGAUUCAUUGGGCGUAAAGGGUGCGUAGGUGGCGCCGUAAGUCGGGUGUGAAAUUUCGGAGCUUAACUCCGAAACUGCAUUCGAUACUGCGGUGCUUGAGGACUGGAGAGGAGACUAGAAUUCAUGGUGUAGCAGUGAAAUGCGUAGAGAUCAUGAGGAAGACCAGUGGCGAAGGCGGGUCUCUGGACAGUUCCUGACACUGAGGCACGAAGGCCAGGGGAGCAAACGGG